rnacentral:rRNA from 1 species
GACGAACGCUGGCGGCGUGCUUAACACAUGCAAGUCGAACGGAAAGGCCUGCUUUCCCUUGUGGAUUGCGGGUACUCGAGUGGCGAACGGGUGAGUAACACGUGAGUGAUCUGCCCCCAACUUGGGUAUAAGCCUGGGAAACUGGGUCUAAUUCCCGAUAGGACUGCAGGGUGGUGCCUGUGGUGGAAAACGAUUUUCUAGUGGUUGGGGAUGAGCUCGCGGCCUAUCAGCUUGUUGGUGGGGUAAUGGCCUACCAAGGCGGCGACGGGUAGCCGGCCUGGGAGGGUGGAGGGCCACAUUGGGACUGGGAUACGGCCCAGACUCCUACGGGAGGCAGCAGUGGGGAAUAUUGCACAGUGGGCGGAAGCCUGAUGCAGCGACGCCGCGUGGGGGAUGACGGCCUUCGGGUUGUAAACUCCUUUCGACCGCGAGGAAGCCACCUGGUUGGAAGGGUGGUGACGGUAGGGGUAGAAGAAGCACCGGCUAACUACGUGC